rnacentral:misc_RNA from 1 species
UACGUAGGGAGCAAGCGUUGUCCGGAAUUAUUGGGCGUAAAGAGCGUGUAGGCGGCCAAGUAAGUCUGGUGUGAAAUCCGGAGGCUCAACCUCCGGCUGUCACUGGAAACUGCCUGGCUAGAGUCCGGAAGAGGAGAGUGGAAUUCCUGGUGUAGCGGUGAAAUGCGCAGAUAUCAGGAGGAACACCUGUGGCGAAGGCGACUCUCUGGUACGUGACUGACGCUGAGACGCGAAAGCGUGGGUAGCGAACAGG